CAGAUCGUGACAUCGUCCCGGGUUGUAGUUGGAAGUCGCACACUGUAGCGCUACACAAAGAUGAUCCCUGUAUAUGUCGUGCUCUUAUCCAUGGUCGCAGCUGUACAAGCUGAAACCAAAUGCUACGAAAACCUUGGAUGUUUCACUAAUGACGGUCCAUAUGGAGACUUACUGCUGAGACCGGGAUCUAUGUUUCCUGAUUCUCCGAAAACUAUUAACACCCGAUUCCUUCUGUUAACUGUGGAUAAU